AGGUGUUCCUGUUUGUGUAGCCAAGGAUGACUUGCCGACCCGGCCCCUGCUCCGCUCAAGGUCGGCAAGUUGUUUUCUUUGGCUACAUGAUAACCUCG
rnacentral:pre_miRNA from 2 species